rnacentral:rRNA from 1 species
UACGUAGGGACCGAGCGUUAUCCGGAUUCAUUGGGCGUAAAGAGCUCGUAGGCGGCUAUUCAAGUCGAACGUGAAAUCUCGGGGCUCAACUCCGAGCCUGCGUUCGAUACUGGGUAGCUAGAGUCUGGUAGGGGGAUCUGGAAUUCCUGGUGUAGCGGUGGAAUGCGCAGAUAUCAGGAGGAACACCGGUGGCGAAGGCGGGAUCCUGGGCCAGUACUGACGCUGAGGAGCGAAAGCGUGGGGAGCGAACAGG